rnacentral:tRNA from 1 species
GCCCCCAUCGUCUAGUGGCCUAGGACACAGCCCUUUCAAGGCUGCGGCCGGGGUUCGAAUCCCCGUGGGGGCG